rnacentral:rRNA from 1 species
AUUGAACGCUGGCGGCAGGCUUAACACAUGCAAGUCGAACGAUGAUUAUCUAGCUUGCUAGAUAUGAUUAGUGGCGGACGGGUGAGUAACAUUUAGGAAUCUGCCUAGUAGUGGGGGAUAGCUCGGGGAAACUCGAAUUAAUACCGCAUACGACCUACGGGUGAAAGGGGGCGCAAGCUCUUGCUAUUAGAUGAGCCUAAAUCAGAUUAGCUAGUUGGUGGGGUAAAGGCCCACCAAGGCGACGAUCUGUAACUGGUCUGAGAGGAUGAUCAGUCACACCGGAACUGAGACACGGUCCGGACUCCUACGGGAGGCAGCAGUGGGGAAUAUUGGACAAUGGGGGCAACCCUGAUCCAGCCAUGCCGCGUGUGUGAAGAAGGCCUUUUGGUUGUAAAGCACUUUAAGCAGGGAGGAGAGACUAAUGGUUAAUACCCAUUAGAUUAGACGUUACCUGCAGAAUAAGCACCGGCUAACUCUGUGCCAGCAGCCGCGGUAAUACAGAGGGUGCGAGCGUUAAUCGGAAUUACUGGGCGUAAAGCGAGUGUAGGUGGCUCAUUAAGUCAUAUGUGAAAUCCCCGGGCUUAACCUGGGAACUGCAUGUGAUACUGGUGGUGCUAGAAUAUGUGAGAGGGAAGUAGAAUUCCAGGUGUAGCGGUGAAAUGCGUAGAGAUCUGGAGGAAUACCGAUGGCGAAGGCAGCUUCCUGGCAUAAUAUUGACACUGAGAUUCGAAAGCGUGGGUAGCAAACAGGAUUAGAUACCCUGGUAGUCCACGCCGUAAACGAUGUCUACUAGCCGUUGGGGUCCUUGAGACUUUAGUGGCGCAGUUAACGCGAUAAGUAGACCGCCUGGGGAGUACGGCCGCAAGGUUAAAACUCAAAUGAAUUGACGGGGGCCCGCACAAGCGGUGGAGCAUGUGGUUUAAUUCGAUGCAACGCGAAGAACCUUACCUGGUCUUGACAUAGUGAGAAUCCUGUAGAGAUGCGGGAGUGCCUUCGGGAAUUCACAUACAGGUGCUGCAUGGCUGUCGUCAGCUCGUGUCGUGAGAUGUUGGGUUAAGUCCCGCAACGAGCGCAACCCUUUUCCUUAUUUGCCAGCGGGUUAAGCCGGGAACUUUAAGGAUACUGCCAGUGACAAACUGGAGGAAGGCGGGGACGACGUCAAGUCAUCAUGGCCCUUACGACCAGGGCUACACACGUGCUACAAUGGUAGGUACAGAGGGUUGCUACACAGCGAUGUGAUGCUAAUCUCAAAAAGCCUAUCGUAGUCCGGAUUGGAGUCUGCAACUCGACUCCAUGAAGUCGGAAUCGCUAGUAAUCGCAGAUCAGAACGCUGCGGUGAAUACGUUCCCGGGCCU